rnacentral:lncRNA from 1 species
AGCACCCGCGACCAAAGCUUUGCCUGGGCCCGGCCCCUGUCCCGCCCUCCACCCGGGCACCACCAAGGGCCAAACUUUCCCUUCUCCCUCCACCUGCCGACACGCGGCGCGCUGACGUCACCGCGCAGGUCGCGCCCCGCCUUGGGAACCGCCUCUGGCCGCCAUGUCAAGUGUGUCUAAGUAAACGCGAGCAGGCACAGAGCCCAGAAGGUGGAAAUUGAUGGUUGAAGGGAAGAAAAUCCUAGGUGCUGCCUUCCUUUCUCCUUUUGCAGGGAAGAGUGGAGGGGGCAUUGUGGCAGAGAAGAACUACAUCUGAUGCUAAGGAUUGGCAAUCUCAAGGUUACGAUUCCAUGAUUUAAAUGAACAAAGAUUUGGCAGCCGUUUUGAUACCAGAAGUUCAAACUAUGACCCCUUUCUCAGCCUGUGGAAAUUCUUCUGUGUGAAAACACUGUCAUAAAUGUCAUACAGUGGUGACCGAAGCAGUCUUGACUUCUUUUCAUGUUCUGCUAAAAGACAAGAAAGGAAAGCCACUUUUCCUCUGCUCUGCCGGACCAGGCCUCACCUGCUCUGUCGGACCAUGCCUCACCUGCUCUGCCCAGCCUAGCUGAUGGCCUGCCCUUCUCUUUCCAGUUCAGCCACAGGGAUGCAUUUUCUGAGAUUUUUCCUAGCCCAAUGAUAGCCAUAUACACGUCCACCUCACCCAGGAUGUUUCUAGGCACAUAGCCUGUGAUACGUGUACCACUGUCUUCUCUUUUUGUGAAUAUUAUGUAUCAAAUUAGGUUGUGAGUUACCUGUAAAGGAAUAGAGGAACUCAGAGUGAAGGAUUUUUUGUGAAGUUUUUGGUUUGCUGCCCACUUCAUGCCCUGCCAGAGUUGUUUUCUCCCUUUUCUUAGAAAUAUUGACAAGAUGUGAUAUACCAGUUUUCUGCCUUAGGCUGGAGUAUCAGAAUCUUGGGGGUUAGUAUAAUUUACAAAAUCACUCAAAAAUACAGG